rnacentral:rRNA from 1 species
GAUGAACGCUGGCGGCGUGCCUAAUACAUGCAAGUCGAGCGAACGGACGAGAAGCUUGCUUCUCUGAUGUUAGCGGCGGACGGGUGAGUAACACGUGGAUAACCUACCUAUAAGACUGGGAUAACUUCGGGAAACCGGAGCUAAUACCGGAUAAUAUUUUGAACCGCAUGGUUCAAAAGUAAAAGACGGUCUUGCUUUCACUUAUAGAUGGAUCCGCGCUGCAUUAGCUAGUUGGUAAGGUAACGGCUUACCAAGGCAACGAUGCAUAGCCGACCUGAGAGGGUGAUCGGCCACACUGGAACUGAGACACGGUCCAGACUCCUACGGGAGGCAGCAGUAGGGAAUCUUGCGCAAUGGGCGAAAGCCUGACGGAGCAACGCCGCGUGAGUGAUGAAGGUCUUCGGAUCGUAAAACUCUGUUAUUAGGGAAGACCAUAUGUGUAAGUAACUGUGCACAUCUUGACGGUACCUAAUCAGAAAGCCACGGCUAACUACGUG